UGGAUGUCACUAACUCGGCUUCUUCUCCGGAGCCUUUGUGCUCCACUGUCUCUCAGAUUAACUCAUAUCACAGCGGUGCCUGGACAGCGUGACGUGUGUGGUUGUGCUGCUGCCGUGGUCCCGCCAGAUGCCUCCUGCUGCUGCUGCCAUCAUUAGUCAUUAGUCAUACUUCUUCUGUUAUUAUACACAUAUGAUUAUUGUCACACAUGUAUACUGCCAGAAGUACCGAGGCCUGUGUCGAGCAAAGGGGGCGUGUCCAAAUGAAGCCAUCACCUGGCAUCUGCAAUUUGGAAGCAUUUUGACCUGAUAUCUCCCAAAAAGAUCCACUGAGAUGUUGCCCACAUGUAAUAUCACAGUAGGACCAGCAGAUGUCAGUACUCCCAAAUGAGCUGUUAAACG